GAUGUCGCCAAGUGGUUAAGGCACAGGACUUUGACUCCUGCAUUCGUGGGUUCAAAUCCCGCCAUC
rnacentral:tRNA from 1 species